GGAGCCCGGAGCUUCGUCUUUCGCUCGGCCUACCCCGCUAUAGCAGACGGACCGUCAGAGACUCGAACUUGGCCGUUAAACUCUGAGGUCUGAAUGCUGGCCUCUUAAGGCUGUGCACCACACAGCCGGCCAGAAGAAAAUAGAAAAAAAGGACAUUUAUCUUCUGUUGUUCAACAAUUUUUUUUCCGUUUUUUUAAAUCUAUUUAGCUUGUUGUGCAGUAUUGUUCCACACAAAUGACACAUGGAAACCUAGCUAUUUUUUUAUUGGCUUUCACAAAAUGGGACUGCCAAUGUUGGAGGUGUUACUGAGCCAAAGUCUUCCUGCUAGCCGGAAACCUGCUGGCGGCGCCACUAUGUUCUCAGCACACUCUUCAGCGUCAGCUUUGUUGCCUGUUUUCGGCACACCUACCUAGUCCCACUCAUCCACUUUAUCUGCUCAUGGCAGAUUUACCCACACUGAGCACUCCUUGGAUUAAGACAGUAAUGAGAUCAUGUGCACACUCCACAGAGGUCCAGAGUCCAAAUGUGACCUCUAGCACCAAACGCUUGCUGCAGUUGUUGGUGUCAGAGGUGACACACAAGUUGCAGCCUCCAAGUUGAACACCAUCACCAAAUCCAACCUGGGUCAGUGUGUCAGCAAGUACGACCUGCUGGUCUGGUUUGAGAUCAGCGAGCUGGAGCCCACUGGAGAGUACAUCCCAGCCAUCGUGGAUCACAGUGGAGGCCUGCCCUGUCAUGGUACCUACCUGCUGCACCAGGGGAUCCAGCGGAGGAUCACAGUGACCCUCAUCCACGAGAAGGGCAGCGAGCUCCAUUGGAAAGAUGUCCGUGAGCUGGUUGUAGGAAGGAGUUUGUGGAGGCCCAUGUGAAUCAUGCCUUCAACACAUCAGUGGAGAGUCUGUUCCAGGAGUUCAAGCGAGGCUUCUUCCUGGUGUGUGAGCAGGAUUUGGUGAGGCUGUUUCGACCAGAGGAGCUGCAGGGAGUGCUGGUCGGCCAGGACGUGCAUGACUGGGAAAAGUUCAAACAGAAGUGCAUUUGUGGUGUCAGACACUGACGUUGGAGGAGAAGGCCUGGCUCACAGUUGCUGCUCUAAUUCAUCCCAAAUAUGUUCUAUCAGGGUGAGGUCAGGACUCUGUGCAGGCUAGUCCAGUUCUUCUACACCAAACUCGCUCAUCCAUGUCUUUAUAGACCUUGUAUUGUGCACUGGUGCCCAGCCAUGUUGGAACAGAAAGUGGCCAUCCCCAAACUAGAAGCAUGAAAUUGUCUUGAUAUGCUGAAGCAUUAAGAGUUCCUUUCAUCUGCACUAAGGGGGCGAACCCAACUCCUGAUAAAUAGCCCCACAACAAAAUCGCCCCUCCACCACACUUUACACUUGGCACAGUGCAGUCAGACAAGUACUUCUGGCAACCACCAAACCCUGACACAUCCAUCGGAUUGCCAGUCAGAGAAGUGUGAUUCGUCACUCCAGUAAACACAUCUCCACUGCUUUAGAGUCCAGUGUUGAGAUGCUUAAAUCACUCCAUCUGACACUUUGCAUUGUGUUUGUCAAUGUAAGGCUGGGAUGCAGCUGCUCAGCCAUGGAAACCAAUGAAGUUUGGACAUCUGUAACAAUAGCAGACUGCAGAUAUUGGUGACUUAAGUGCACUAUGAGCCUUAGCAUCAGCCGACUAGCUGUCAUUUCCAAUUACUUCCACUUUGUUUUAAUAUCACUAACAGCUGACUAUGGAAUAUUUAAUAGCGAGGAA